AUGGACGUGAGGUCCCUUUCCCAAAUUAUUGACUAUGAUUAUACUGUGUGCAACUGUAAUCUUUAUUAGAGGAUUCCAAGCCAGAAGUAUGAUCCAC
rfam:Triticum aestivum genome assembly, contig: Triticum_aestivum_CS42_TGACv1_scaffold_321903_4BL